AACUAAGCAUAUCAAUAAGCGGAGGAAAAGAAACCAACAGGGAUUGCCCUAGUAACGGCGAGUGAAGCGGCAACAGCUCAAAUUUGAAAUCUGGCUCUUUCAGGGUCCGAGUUGUAAUUUGCAGAGGGCGCUUUGGCGUUGGCAGCGGUCCAAGUUCCUUGGAACAGGACGUCACAGAGGGUGAGAAUCCCGUACGUGGUCGCUAACCUUCGCCGUGUAAAGCCCCUUCGACGAGUCGAGUUGUUUGGGAAUGCAGCUCUAAAUGGGAGGUAAAUUUCUUCUAAAGCUAAAUACUGGCCAGAGACCGAUAGCGCACAAGUAGAGUGAUCGAAAGAUGAAAAGCACUUUGGAAAGAGAGUCAAAUAGCACGUGAAAUUGUUGAAAGGGAAGCGCUUGCAGCCAGACUUGCCUGUAGUUGCUCAUCUAGGCUUUUGCCUAGUGCACUCUUCUAUGGGCAGGCCAGCAUCAGUUUGGGCGGUUGGAUAAAGGUCUCUGUCAUGUACCUCUCUUCGGGGAGGCCUUAUAGGGGAGACGACAUGCAACCAGCCUGGACUGAGGUCCGCGCAUCUGCUAGGAUGCUGGCGUAAUGGCUGUAAGCGGCCCGUCUUGAAACACGGACCAAGGAGUCUAACAUCUAUGCGAGUGUUUGGGUGUCAAGCCCGAACGCGUAAUGAAAGUGAACGGAGGUGGGAACCUUAGGGUGCACCAUCGACCGAUCCUGAUGUCUUCGGAAGGAUUUGAGUAAGAGCAUGGCUGUUGGGACCCGAAAGAUGGUGAACUAUGCUUGAAUAGGGUGAAGCCAGAGGAAACUCUGGUGGAGGCUCGCAGCGGUUCUGACGUGCAAAUCGAUCGUCAAAUUUGGGCAUAGGGGCGAAAGACUAAUCGAACAUCUAGUGCCGG
rnacentral:rRNA from 1 species